UUUUUUUUUUUUUUUUUUCAAGAGGAAAGAGAGUUGUUGCCUCUGAAUCUCAUGUGGAAUUCUUUGGGAUACAGCUGUGGGUAGGAAUAGACAAAUCUCGUCUCACUGAUAUGCCAGUUAGUAAGAGGGAGAGAACAUCUGGAGAAAUUCCAGGUGGACAAUUACUGUGUGUCAAAAGAAAGCUUUUCCUUGCAAAGUGUGUUUGUAGGGUCAGGUACUGCGAACAGCCAUUGACUCUGCUCUCCAGAAACAACAGUAUUGGUCAUUCAAAAAAAGACAAUCCAUUGCUUUGGACGAACCUCUCAUUGUUAUUAUGUAAUUGAAUGAUGCCAUGAAGGGAGGCAUUGCACUGCCAGACUUUGAACUCUGCCACAAGGAAUCAAUAGAACUAUCGUGUUACUGUUUUUGCAAUUUGAAUGUACUUUUUUGUGUAGUAAUUAAAGUAUGUCAGUUAUUUUAGCAUUAUGUGAAAAUUAAUGACAAUGUUUAAAACACAAUGUAUAGUAUGGCCUAAACUGUGUGAGAUACAAGUGCCCAUUCCUCUAAAUAUGUCAUUGGAUGCAGGCUGCAGCUCUCCUGAUAUGAGAUGCUGUGUCCUGAGGUUAACUCAGGGUAUACAAGCUUGGUCUUUCCUCCUGCCCCCCCCCCCAUCCAUCCCAUUCUCCCUCCUCCUCCUGUGCUUCCCUUCCUCUCUUUCUCUUUCCUUCCUUCCCUUUUCCUUCAUAUAUUUCUGUUCUCUGCUAAAGGGAGGAUGUGGGUAUUCAGAAAAAGGUGUCUUCAGUUAUUGACCUCAAUAGCCAAACCACUCAGUAAUUAAAGUAACAAAUUACUUCAAAUAUGUUGACACAAAUAUCCUUUUCAUUUCUCUCCAUUUCAUUAUCUGUUAACUCUAUUUAUUCCCUAUGCUACAGCUUCUUUUCUUUCUCUCCCAUCUACUUUUCCUUCUCAACUUGGGGGGCGUUGUUUUUUAAACCAUCUAAGUUCAUUUAGCGCUAUCUGAAUCAGCUUGGAUUUAGAGCUGAUUUCUUAAAUGAAGAACUUUAAAGAAGGCUUGUCAUGAAAUAUGAUGUUUUGCAGAGACUUCUAAACACACCCACCUACAGGGUUAGCUCAGAAUGUCACUGUAUCAUCAUCAAAGUGCAGAGCCAAUCAGGAGUAGCUGCUGGGUCUAGAGAAAUUGCUGAAAGCACUUUGACAGAGACUCCCAAACAGCCAGCCUGGCCUACCACCAGUUGCAAAGUUACUUAGGAUCAGGGCAGCCAAACCUCUUUAGCUGCUCUAGUCCUGUCCUUUCUGAUCACAUCUGAAGACUGUCAGUUGAGUAGUUUUACACCUUUAGUUCCCACUUCUUAACGAUAUUAUAUUCACUACAUGCAACCAAUAUAUAUUGAAGGCCAGAAUGCUCAGAAGCCAAAUGAGCGUAUCACAUUCUAAGUACUUUAUAGAUUGAUCAGAGGAUCAUACAGGAUGUAAAUAAUGAAGCAAAAUUAUAAAUAUUAUGGGGGAAGGCAUUUCUUUUGAUCCUGAAACCUGGUUGUGGACAAACAGGAGUCUGCAGGGCCAUCAGGCAUGGGCAGGAACUCCCAUGAACUUCUGCACAGGGGCCUUGGGUCUUCUAUUGCUUAUGUCAAUCUGCAGCCAAGUUCCACUCAUGGGAGCCCAGGGCUCAUCUGGAGUAGACAUAUAGGAGAAAAGAAAGCAAACUGGCUAGGUGGAUUGUAUGUUCAUCAUGCCAUGCUGAUCUUCAAGAAGAGUCACAUAAAGAAACCUUAGCUGCUUUACUGCUGUCUGUCAUUUUGGCAUGUAAAAUCUGGUUACAUUUUUCAUCUCUGUGACAAAAUACCCAACCAAUACAUAUUAAUGAAGGUGGGAUUUAUUUGGGCUCACUGCCUCCUGAGGACUUGGCUUCUCAUCCUGGGGAAAUCAUGAGAGCAGAGCAUGAGGCAGCUGGUUUCAUUGCAUCGGUAAUCAGGAGGCAUGAAUAUUGGUUAUCAGCCCACUACCUUUCAUUAAGUUGGGGACCCCAGUCUAUAUAAUGAUGCCAACCAUAUCCGAGGAAGGUGUCUUACCUCCAAUGUAAACUUAUCUAGAAACACCCAGAUGUGUGUUUCUAGUAGUGAUCCUAAGACCAGUCAAAUUGACAGGAUUAGCCAUCUCAGACCUUAUAGGAAAAGAUUUCUUGGACAAACAGGUACAGACCACUAUACAGACCAAAGAUAUCCCUAAGCUUAAGCUUGGUAAGGCUAUAAACCACUCAAAAAGCAUGUUCAACAAAUAGACGAAGUUUAUUCCCAUAAAAUGUUCUCAGUAAAUGAAAAACAACAAGUUCUUAUAACUCACAUUCUAAACAUUUUAAAUGUCAGAUCAUGUACAAUCUCAAAACCAAACACAACUAAUAAACUUCAUAGAAC
rnacentral:lncRNA from 1 species